GGCCUCGUAGCUCAGUUGGUUAGAGCGUUGGCUGUACUAAACCCUUAACCUUGGUGGUGUGGGUUCAAAUGCCACCAAGUCCA
rnacentral:tRNA from 1 species